rnacentral:lncRNA from 1 species
GAAAAGUUAGGAGGCGGGGCUGAGCAGUGUGGGCUGGAACAUCUGAGGAGCUGUGCGGCGGAGGUGUGGGCUGCGGGACUGGAGGCAGCUGGGAGGAGCAGGCAGGCACUGGUCGAGGAGCAGCAAGAGCCCCUUGCAGAGAAGGGAAGGGGUGUAAUGGGACCUGUUUCACAGGAUGAAGGGCUUUGGAUGAGAACCCUUCUGAGUCAUGACAUUGGAUCCCAACUCUGCUAUUUACAGGCAGUGUGACCUGUGCAUGAUCUCUCUGGGCCUCAGUUUUCCUCAUCUGUGAAAGGGACAAUACUGUCAUUCCUAUGCUGCACAGUAGCUGUAAAGGCUAAAGGUAAUGGCUGUAGGACGCCUGGCACACGGCACGUCUGUGGUUAUCAGAGGGUAGUAAGAGUCAAGGCUUCUGGAACAGAUAGACCCCAGAGAUAAGGUGGAAUAGAAAGGCAGGGUCCAAAGGGGAAGGCUUGAUCCACAUGCGACAUGAGGAGGAGCUUGGAGAGGUCUCAAGAUGCAGAGCCUUGGAAGGAAGAUGAGACUGGGGCUGGAGAAUGAGGAAGGAGGAUGGUGGCCCAUUCUCCUAGGAUGAUGGUGGCCAGGCCAGGGUGGCAGCUGCAGGAAGACAAGUUAAUGAAGUUAUUGCUGCAGAAGACUCUCAGGGCCAGGGACUGGUUGGAUGGGCAGGGUGAGUCAAGGCUGAGGCCUCACUUUUAGCCUGGGGGUAGGGAGGAGUGGGGCUGCCUCCUGCAGAGUUGGGGAAACUGGAACAGACCUGGGGAAGCUGGGUGGAGGAUGAUUUUACUUUAAGAUGCAUCUGAGAUGACAGCAAGACAUGGGCACUAUCCAUGGGGGGGGCAGGGAUGGCACCAGAACCAAGGACAGAGAUCCCUGCCACUGAGGCAGCAGAGAAGGGUAAGCAGGCGGAGGAGGGUGUGGGGUCAUGUUGAGGGGAGGACAGCUAUGGAUAAGUUUCUUUUUCCGGGUCAUCCCAGUGAAAUAGAAAGCAAGGCCACCUGCUGUACAUGGGCUUCAGGCACCUGGGGGGCUGGGGACCCACCACCCCUUCAGAGACAGUGCAUCCUGACAUGGCCCCCGUUGUCCCCACCUGCUUGGACCCGGCUGACUUCCACGAAUGCACAUAUGUUUCUGUUCCCUGUGGACGUGGAGACAGCAAUGACGCACAGCCUCCUCCAUGCAAACACGCCAGCCAGAAAUCCGUGACUAUACCCAGCAAGGCCGUGGAGGAGCUGCUAACCUGGACCCCAAAGGCUGAGCCUGGCAGACUGGUCUCCACAGCUGACAAGGGCUGGUGAGCAGCAGGCCUCAGCCUGUCCUCUGCUGGGUGCUAAACUCUUGAGAAGGUUCCUUUCAUUCGCCCUGGUUCCUGACCCUCUACUCACGCCCUAAGAACUUCAAGCGAAUGACAUCGAGGAAGAAUCACUUUCCAGCAUCUCUGUAUUUGAUUUUUAGUCAUCUCAUGAUCUUUGCAGGUGUUUUUUAACUAAGUUAACACUGCUUGUCUGACUCAUCCAUCCCUGAGGAAAUCACGUGGGAGAAACAGAUUGCUUAUCACACACUUCCAACAAGACAACCCAAAAUGAAUUUCUAGAGGAAACUGGACUUCCCAUAAGUUUAAGAUAUGUGAAGCCACCCAGGAUGGAUACUGGGGAGAAAGAUGCACAUAGACUCCAGACUGGCUUUUACCUGAUGGGGUAUCACCCUUUGCUUACCUCCUGAAAAUGUUAAUUUAGUGAAGAACCUGGUGGUUUCUUGAUUCGGUAGAGUAGGAAGGUCACAACAUCACCCGUGAUUAUUCUUGCCAAAACGAUGUCACCUGAAUCUAAUUGAGGCCUAACUUCCAGCUUACAGUAAAUAUGGAGCAUGAAGGAUGCCAGGUGCAAACAAUCAGACAAAUGGAGCCUGUGGGAGGCUGGCAGAGACUGUUGCUGGCUACCAGCAGCCAUCUGCGGCCCACUUACUCCUUGCCCACCUCCCUGUAAAGCAGCUGAAAGGCCUGGUCCUUGGUUUCAGCUAAGGGUGAAUCAUGAGCUCACGGUGAUCAUCAGACCCCACCCCCCUGGACAAUGAGAAGUAACAGGGACUCUGCUGGAUUGCUUCUUGGAAAGAUUUCCCUCCUUGAUAAAAGAGUUUCGCUUUUGUUGCCCAGGAUGGAGUGCAAUGGCACUAUCUCGGCUCAUUGCAACCACCGCGUCCCAGGUUCAAGACAUUCUCCUGCCUCAGCCUCCCA